rnacentral:rRNA from 1 species
AUUGAACGCUGGCGGCAUGCCUUACACAUGCAAGUCGAACGGCAGCACGGGAGCAAUCCUGGUGGCGAGUGGCGAACGGGUGAGUAAUAUAUCGGAACGUGCCCAGUCGUGGGGAUAACGUAGCGAAAGCUACGCUAAUACCGCAUACGAUCUAUGGAUGAAAGCGGGGGAUCGCAAGACCUCGCGCGAUUGGAGCGGCCGAUAUCAGAUUAGGUAGUUGGUGAGGUAAAGGCUCACCAAGCCGACGAUCUGUAGCUGGUCUGAGAGGACGACCAGCCACACUGGGACUGAGACACGGCCCAGACUCCUACGGGAGGCAGCAGUGGGGAAUUUUUGGACAAUGGGCGAAAGCCUGAUCCAGCAAUGCCGCGUGAGUGAUGAAGGCCUUAGGGUUGUAAGCACUUUCAGUCGAGGAGGAAGGGGUGAGUGUUAAUA